ACAUAAUCAAAGUUAAACACAUUAUUAGUCAACAAGCUGGAAUAUUGCUAUUCUAAAUUUGAAAAAACCUCUGACAAGUAUCUGUAAGUUGUUAGAGAUGGCGCUUGUUGGCUUUUCUCUUUUCUUUGAUACCUGCUAUUCAAUGAAUCUGCCAAUUGUUUUCUUUUUUCAUGAUAAACAAAAUUUUGAAUAAUUUAACUGAUUAAAUACAACUAAUACUAUCUGUGUAAUAAACCACCUUCUAAUUAGUUAAGUGACAAAAACUGUUGAAAACAAAUUGUGUAGUAACUAGGAAAAUGGAGACAAACGUGGAAACAAAACCAGUGGAAAUUAAUGCUGAAGGUGAGCUAACUGUGCCUUUCUCUUGGAGGAGCUCUAUAAGGCAACAAUUAGAUACUCGCAAGUUGAGAGAAGAAAAGCCUUUUGAAGAUUUGAUCAACUUCUGUUGUCGAGUUUUUGCUUUGUACGCAACAAACCCGGAUUUGGGUAAUUUUACCCAUGCAUCAUCGGAGCCUCUCUCCUCUGCGAGUGAGCGAAGUUCAUUAUAUGCUCGUCUUAAAGAAGCCGAAGCUAACCUGACAGCCGCUCAUGGUGAAAUUUCUCGCUUAGAGAAACAACUAGCCGAGCUUAAGACACAACUACAAUUUGAAAGGGAUGAACAUGCUAUCCUCAGAGUUUUGUAUGAUGAUCUGACUAAAAAGCUUUCAGCUAAAACUCAUGAGGCUGACCACUUAUUGAUUCAGUUGAAAGCAAUGAAAGCUGCAGAUGCAGAAAAAUUGAAUGAGCUUAAUGCAAGAGAAGAGCGAUUAUUGAGAGAGAAAAAACGCCAAGAGCUAGAAGCUGUUGCUGCUGCUACUCGAGUGGUUGAAGUUGAGGAAGGUAUACUUGUUGAUCAGGGAGAAACGGCUAGUGUUCCUUCUCAUGUUAUUGCCAUUCUCCCUGAUAGAAUGCUUUGUUCAACUGAUGCCCAUGAUGGAGAUGUGUAUGCACUAAGAUGGUGCUCUAGUGAAGGAUCUGGAGGGCGUUUUUGUGAUUUGGUUGCUACCGGUGGUAGCGAUCGUAAAGUUAAAGUGUGGCAAGUAUCAUCAUCACAGUUACACAUGAAAGAGACUCUUGUUGGUUGUAAUGGAGGUAUAACCUCCAUCGAUUGUUCUAAUGAUUUAAUUAUAGCUUCUUCAUACGAUUUUACGUGUCGAAUUUGGUCCAUCCUUGAUGGAAAACUUCGCCGGACCUUGACAGGUCAUGCGGACAAAGUGUUAACAGUUAAGUUUUCAGUUGUGGCCAAUAGAUGUAUCUCUGGAAGUCAGGAUAGGACAAUUCGUGUUUGGGACUAUGACAAGUAUGCUUGUACUAAAACUCUUUACCCAGGAUCAACUUGUAACGAUCUUGUUCUUAGUAAAGGCCAAGAAGUUGUGAUUAGUGGACAUUUUGACAAGAAAAUUCGCCUCUGGGAUAUGCGAACUGAGUGUAGUGUUCAUGAAAUUUAUCUUUCUUCUCGAAUAUCAUCACUUGAUCUUUCAUCAAGUGGACAGUAUUUGCUUGCUUGUGUUCGCGAUGAUACCCUUAAAUUAAUGGACCUUCGUAUGAAUCAGGUUGUUAAAACCUUUAGUGCGGACAGUUUUAAAGUAGGAACUGAUUUAACUAAAGCUACUAUCAGUCCGGAUAAUGAUCAUGUAAUCGCCGGCUCUGCAUCAGGAUCCAUCUUCAUUUGGAAUGUAAAUACCUCAAAAGUGGAUAGAGUCCUCAAAAGUCAACAUAAUUCUACUGUUGGUGUAGCUUCUUGGAGUCCUCAGGGACAACUUGUUGCAUCCUGUGAAAAAAAUAAGAAGCUCGUUAUAUGGAAUUAGAAAAUUUUCUAAUUUGUUUCCUUAGUGAAGUUUCAAAUCAAAAGAAAAGACAUUACAGAUGCAAUUUUCUAAUAUCUAUCUACUGCUCAUCUUUUUGUUUAAUAAACAAUCUUCUUGCCAGUCUUGAUAUUUUCAAUCGUAACAAGAGUAACAGCGAGUGUCUACUUUCAUAUCUAUUUAAUUAUUGUGAUCAACUCUAAGUGCUUCAUCUGCUUUUCGUGGAAUCUAUACCUCCAAUUAUAAAGAGUUUGAAAUGAAUUCAACUAUCAAGGAUAAAAGAUUUAAUCUUAAUAACAUUAGUGUUGAUUACUAACAUUGAAAUAAUCUUGCAUUGUCAUUUCUCUGCCAUUUAACCACCAUUGCCGCAUUUGACUUGAUAGCUUCAUUUUUUUCGCCAAUUAUUGCCAAUUUAUUAAGUCCAUCGACGUUAUUGGAUAUUCUUGGUUCACUUUUAUUAACUGGCCAAUGACAUAUCAGGCUUCGAUGAAGAAAAAAAUGUCCUAGAAGAACUAUUAGGAACACCAGAGGAUGAUGACUUAGCAUCGGAAUUGAAUAGCGGUGAACGCAAAACUGGAAG